AUGGAGUUCGACUGCGAGAGUGUGAGACGGCUGCUAGGCAAGUACAAGUUCAGGGAUCUAACUGUGGAAGAACUAAAGAAUGUAAAUAUGUUUUUCCCACAUUUCAAAUAUUCCAUGGAUACCUACGUUUUUAAAGAUAGUUCCCAGAAAGACCUGCUGAAUUUUACUGGUACUAUUCCUGUGAUGUAUCAGGGUCAUACAUAUAACAUACCAAUCCGUUUCUGGAUUUUGGAUUCUCACCCUUUUGCUCCCCCCAUUUGCUUCUUGAAGCCAACUGCAAAUAUGGGAAUUUCCAUUGGAAAACAUGUGGAUGCACAAGGCAGAAUAUACUUGCCCUAUCUCCAAAACUGGAGCCAUCCCAAGUCUGUCAUUGUUGGAUUAAUUAAAGAAAUGAUUGCCAAGUUUCAAGAGGAACUUCCCCUAUAUUCUCUAUCAUCAUCUGAUGAAGCACGGCAGGUAGACAUGCUAGCCUAUAUUGCAAAAAUCACUGAAGGUGUCUCAGACAUAAAUUCAAAGAGUUGGACAAAUUAUGAGAUUAAACCAGUCAAUAAAAUUACCGUGGUUGGAAAUGGAGAGUUGGGUAUUGCCUGCAUCUUAGCAAUUUCAGCAAAGGGCAUUGCAGACAGGCUAGUCCUUUUAGAUCUCUCAGAAGGAACAAAAGGUGGAACCAUGGACCUUGACAUAUUCAACCUGCCUAAUGUGGAAAUCAGCAAAGUUCUCAGGGGACACAACAACUUUCUUUGUAUGUGGUGCUGAGGAUCGAACCCGGGUCGCACGCAUGCCAGGCGAGCGCCCUACCGCUUGAGCCACAUCCCCAGCCCUGUAUGACUGCUUAAGUCAUUUACACGGGAUGCAUGAUUUAAGAGGACACCUGUAGUCCCAGUUGCUCAGAAGACCGAGGCAAGAGGACCAUAAGUUCAGAGCUAGUAUCAGCAACUUAAUCAAGGUCUUAAGCAGCUAAACAAGAAGACCCUUUCUCUAAAUAAAAUAUUUUAAAAGGGCUGGAAAUGUACCUCAGUGGUUAAGCGCCCCUGGGUUCCAUCCCUGGUACCAAGAAGAAAAAAAAGGUCAUUGAAAGACACAUUUUCUAAAAUGAUUCUACCAGUUUAUAGAUCAGAUCAGAUUGUACAUAGUAUAGUUGUUUGGCUUGCUUUUGCCUUUACUUGGGUCCCCUGUAUUUCUUGACUAUGUUUUCCAAAUAAUGUAUAAAAACACAUAGUCUCACAAGCCUGAAUGUACUAAGAAUAAUGGUCAGAAAAACUGAAAUCUCUGUUCUUAUGAGUUCUAAAAAUUGGGUGUUAUAGUUUAGUAAACCUGUAGGAGCCUUGUAGGAGACAAUGAGUUCAUUUUGCUUCUCUGGAAAAAGUACUGUAGCUGCUUUAAUAAUCCUUUUGUAGGCCUCUUGUGGAGGAUCAUUUGGGGAACAGGGUAUUCUCUUGUGUCAAUCGUUUCUAGGGAGUGAAGUUCUUAAGAGACUGCUUAACUCGUCCAUAUCAUUUUAGGAGACUGUUUAGUACAUGGUCCCUAGAGGUUAUGAGGCCUUUUAGGACUUCAGGAAAUUAUUUCUUUCUGUGUGUCUCAUUAACCAUCAAUAACUAUUCCCUCAGAUAAUAGAAAGCACAGAAACAAUGGAAUAGAUAGAUAACGGAUGGUGCAUGCCACCGAGUGGGGACUCAGUAAUUAUCUAUUGAAUGUUGAAUGAAUAUUGGGGCAUGUUUUUCAUGUUUUCCUAAUUGAUUUUGGUUGUACAUUUCUGAUGACAUAACUUAAUACAUGAAGCAAUUUUAAAUGUAAUGGUAACUAACAUCCCAUAAGUAUAUGGAGAAGUACAUUAACAAUGUGGGGAAUUAAAGCUCAAUUGGAAAUUUUAUUAAUACCACACCAUGAUAUUCAUAGAUGAUUGCAAGUGACUGAUUAUCCAUUAGUUGUACUUUGCCUCAUUUAGUUUUUUCAAAUAGCUACUAUAACAUUUUGGAGAGAUUAUAUAUGAUCAUGUAAUACAAAUAUGUAGACACACACUUACACAAAUAGUUAUGCUCAUGUAUGCAUGAACCAAAUCAGGAAAUACACUUAGAAACUGGUAAGAGUAGUUGUUUUAGGAAUUAGACUGCGGAAUCUGGCUGCUCUGUUUGCACAUAAUUGUGUGUGUCUGUGUGUGUGUAUUUAUAUAUUUAAAUCCGUUUUGUUGUGCUAAAAUAUACAUAACAUAAAAUUACUAUUAGUGACUUUUAACACUAAUUCAUAAUGUGUAUUCAGUAAAUUCACAACAUUGUGUAACUAUCACCACUAUUUAAUUUCUAGAACAUUUCAUUACUCACAAAAGGAAAUUCUAUAGUACACAAUAAGUAAUUGCUUCUUAUUUCCCCUCCUCUAUCCCCUGGCAACUACUAAUCUGCUUUCUGUCCCUAUGAACUUACCUUUUCUGGAUAUUUUAUAUAUACUUGUCCCUUGGUAUCCUAACCCUUCUACUAUUUGUGCUAUAUGUUGCUUAAUGAGAAGUAAUAUCUCAUCACUUUUGUGUUCUUAGUACUAUCUGUGCUUUUUGUAGGGGGGAUUAUGAAUUCAAAUUAAUUUUAUUAUGAUCCUUAACCUUGUAAUUUAUAUCACAGGUUUAUAAACCAUGCUUAAGGUUCUUCUUAAUGAUUUCCCAUUAUUAAAUCAUCAACUUCUAAGAAAAGACUUGAUGAGUCAUAUAAAAAUCUUGGACUGCUUUCCAAAUAAAGAACUUGUUGCCUAUGGAGCAAUUUACCAAAACCUGGCUGUGUAUCCAGACUCAUAUGGAAGGUUGCAUUCCUGGAAGCUCCCUUUAUCUACUUAAAUGAAAUCCUAAGAAAAUGAGAUAAUCUGCAUUUUUAUUAAGCUUUCCAGGUUCUUUAGAAGCACCGAGUCGAGCAUGUGAGGACUGCUGCAGGGAACUGACAGAAAUGGAAGACUACAUGGUCAAAAGCAGCUUAAAGUUUAGAUGAAAAGACACACAUGCAAGAAAUAAAUAGUAAUUCAUAACAAGAGUAAAGAAACAAUAUGUGAUUAAUUGCCGUAAGAACUGUCCAGACAGUAAAGACUCUUGGAGUUAAGUGGAGAGAAUUACUUUAGCCUGAGUAAGACUGAGAUAUGUGCCAGGUUAUGAUUUCAUAGACUGGGGAGAUUUGGACAGAGAAGUAGAGGAAACUGUACCAACUAAGCGACUAGAUCUGAGAGUUGCAAAAAUUAAACACAACUCAGUUCUCACAGAGUGAUAGCAAUGUUUGGUGUAAUAGUCACAUAAAAGCACAUCAAACAUGUGGUAAAUACAGUGAGAAACAUUCCAGAUGAAAAGAAUUUGAGCAAAAGCCAACAUCAGGAAAAUGAAAAAUUGCUUUGAGGAAUGACUAUAAGAUCAGUAGAGUUUGAGCCAAAAGGUUAUAUAAAGAAUACUUAAAUAUACUGUCUUUUAAACUCAAGAAAAGAUUAAAAGGCUUGGAUCUUAAUCUAUGGAGCAAGAGACCUUUCUUGUCCUUUUCAAAUCCUGUAGAUACCAACUACUUUUGUGUACUCAUAUGUCAACCAUGAGGGUGAGGGCAUUUCUGUUAUUUAAAGUAGAGGAAUCAGCCAGGUGGGGUGGCACAUGACUGUAAUCCUAGUGACUCAGAGGCUGAGGCAAGAGGAUUACAAAUUUGAGGCCAGACAGCAAUUUAAUGAGGCCCUA